GGUUCUUUGGCUGGUCUAACAAUUAAAUCGAUAUAAGAUCAACAGGAGAAAGGCAAACAGAAGUUUAAUACCAUGUCUACCUCCUGUAUAGAUGGAAGAGACCCAGGAAAACCGAGCUGAACCAAAUGAAAUUGCUGGUUUGUGGAUCAAAGGUGGAAUUAAAGACUCACACAACUUCAGAAAGGAGAAAAGAGGAAAGUCUCAAGAUGGCCCAGUUAUAUUCAAGACCCAAUUGAAGAGGAGAAAAAGCAUUUCCAGACCGUGAGUUGGACCAGACUCUUAAUGAAUAUCAGCACUGGGACCAGUUAGCAGAGGAGAAUGAAAGAAUAAAAGGGAAAAGAACAAGUUAUCACAUGACCACCAGCUUUUUCUUCUUCACAUGUGAAGGAUGUAUAUAAAUGGGGUGUAUAUAAAUCUAAGACAACCUGAAAUUCCAUCAGGUCCUGGAUAAUUUCAUUUUCCCUAUGAAUCUUCUUGAAUAACCCCACUUGGCACUAAUUUGUACUUGGAAUAUGGAUAUUGAAUCAAUUGUAGCACCAUUAUCCAAAAGUCUAGUUCACAGAGUAUUAGUUCACCAGUGUUUAUUUACUAUGAAGGGGGGGGAAAGUUCAGAAGAUGAACAA